rnacentral:rRNA from 1 species
AAUAUUGGACAAUGGGCGAAAGCCUGAUCCAGCCAUGCCGCGUGUGUGAAGAAGGUCUUCGGAUUNUAAAGCACUUUAAGUUGGGANGAAGGGCAGUAAGUUAAUACCUUGCUGUUUUGACGUUACCGACAGAUGAAGCACCUGCUAACUUCGUGCCAGCAGCCGCGGUAAUACGAAGGGUGCAAGCGUUACUCGGAAUUACUGGGCGUAAAGCGAGCGUAGGUGGUUCGUUAAGUUGGAAGUGAAAGCCACGGGAUUAACCUAGGAGUUGCUUGAAAAGCUGACGAGCUAGAGUACGGUAGAGGGUAGUGGAAUUUCCUGUGUAGCGGUGAAAUGCGUAGAUAUAGGAAGGAACAUCAGUGGCGAAGGCGACUACCUGGACUGAUACUGACACUGAGGUGCGAAAGCGUGGGGAGCAAACAGG